GACGAAGGGUGCAAGCGUUAUCCGGAUUCAUUGGGUUUAAAGGGAGCGUAGGUGGUCUUAUAAGUCAGUGGUGAAAUCUCGCAGCUUAACUGCGAAACUGCCAUUGAUACUGUAGGACUUGAGUAUAGUUGCUGUGGGCGGAAUAUGACAUGUAGUGGUGAAAUACUUAGAGAUGUCAUAGAACACCGAUUGCGAAGGCAGCUCACAAAACUAUAACUGACACUGAGGCUCGAAAGUGCGGGGAUCAAACAGG
rnacentral:rRNA from 1 species